AUGGGUGGAAGAACCAAUUUUUCUUUGCUUCCUCUUCGCUAUCUUGGGGGUUUCCUUUCCGCUGGGGCGACCCUCAGACUUAGUCGAACGAAAAUAGUUGGGUGGAGGCUGGAGAUCGAGAGGACUUUCACCGACUGAAGGAUGUGUCGGUGCCGAAGCAGAGGGAACUCAUCACCGAGCAGGCUCUGUACGACGUUGGCCUAAGUUCGAU
rnacentral:lncRNA from 1 species